rnacentral:rRNA from 1 species
GAUGAACGCUGGCGGCGUGCCUAAUACAUGCAAGUCGAGCGAACAGACGAGGAGCUUGCUCCUCUGACGUUAGCGGCGGACGGGUGAGUAACACGUGGAUAACCUACCUAUAAGACUGGGAUAACUUCCGGAAACCGGAGCUAAUACCGGAUAAUAUAUUGAACCGCAUGGUUCAAUAGUGAAAGACGGUUUUGCUGUCACUUAUAGAUGGAUCCGCGCCGCAUUAGCUAGUUGGUAAGGUAACGGCUUACCAAGGCAACGAUGCGUAGCCGACCUGAGAGGGUGAUCGGCCACACUGGAACUGAGACACGGUCCAGACUCCUACGGGAGGCAGCAGUAGGGAAUCUUCCGCAAUGGGCGAAAGCCUGACGGAGCAACGCCGCGUGAGUGAUGAAGGUCUUCGGAUCGUAAAACUCUGUUAUUAGGGAAGAACAAAUGUGUAAGUAACUAUGCACGUCUUGACGGUACCUAAUCAGAAAGCCACGGCUAACUACGUG